CCUGCGCAUGAUCGCGCCGGUGCCCGAGAGGGCUUAAAAUGGGAACGCGGUAACGGGGUUCGUCCUGAACCCCCGAAGCCGAGGCUGUCCCUGCAACUGUAAGCGGCGAGCGCGAUGCACCGGUUCGAGGCUUUCGGACCAGCCACUGGGAUCAUCCUGGGAAGGCGUGCAUCAAGCCCAGACCCGCGAGCCAGGAGACCUGCCGGCGUGGGUCGCUCAAU
rnacentral:ncRNA from 2 species